rnacentral:rRNA from 1 species
ACACCUACGGGAGGCAGCAGUAGGGAAUCUUCCACAAUGGGCGAAAGCCUGCUGGAUCAACUCCCCCUUUUUGAAGAAGGUCUUCGGAUCGUAAAACCCUGUUGUUAGAGAAGAAAGUGCGUGAGAGUAACUGUUCACGUUUCGACGGUAUCUAACCAGAAAGCCACGGCUAACUACGUGCCAGCAGCCGCGGUAAUACGUAGGUGGCAAGCGUUAUCCGGAUUUAUUGGGCGUAAAGGGAACGCAGGCGGGCUUUUAAGUCUGAUGGGAAA